rnacentral:rRNA from 1 species
AUUACCGCGGCUGCUGGCACGGAGUUAGCCGGAGCUUAUUCUCCCGGUACUGUCAUUAUCAUCCCGGGUAAAAGAGCUUUACAACCCUAAGGCCUUCAUCACUCACGCGGCAUUGCUGGAUCAGGCUUUCGCCCAUUGUCCAAUAUUCCCCACUGCUGCCUCCCGUAGG